rnacentral:rRNA from 1 species
AUUGAACGCUGGCGGCAGGCCUAACACAUGCAAGUCGAACGGUAACAGUAAGCAGCUUGCUGCUUCGCUGACGAGUGGCGGACGGGUGAGUAAUGUCUGGGAAACUGCCUGAUGGAGGGGGAUAACUACUGGAAACGGUAGCUAAUACCGCAUAACGUCGCAAGACCAAAGAGGGGGACCUUAGGGCCUCUUGCCAUCGGAUGUGCCCAGAUGGGAUUAGCUAGUAGGUGGGGUAACGGCUCACCUAGGCGACGAUCCCUAGCUGGUCUGAGAGGAUGACCAGCCACACUGGAACUGAGACACGGUCCAGACUCCUACGGGAGGCAGCAGUGGGGAAUAUUGCACAAUGGGCGCAAGCCUGAUGCAGCCAUGCCGCGUGUAUGAAGAAGGCCUUCGGGUUGUAAAGUACUUUCAGCGGGGAGGAAGGGAGUAAAGUUAAUACCUUUGCUCAUUGACGUUACCCGCAGAAGAAGCACCGGCUAACUCCGUG